AAGCCAUUAUGUGGACAGUCUCUUACCAGCCUCUUAAACCUCGCCCAAGCAUCGCCGAGCGAUUCGUCAGUUUUUUGUUCAAAAUUCGUCAUUAAUUUCCUUCUCCU